UCCAUAGUGGUCUAGUGGUUAGGACUCAGCACUUUCACUGCUGCUGCCAGGGUUCAAUCCCUGGUCUGGGA
rfam:Sus scrofa chromosome 10.